AGAAUCAACGCUGGCGGCGUGCCUAACACAUGCAAGUCGAACGAGAAAGGGUAGCAAUACCUGAGUAAAGUGGCGCACGGGUGAGUAACACGUGACUAACCUACCUUUUAGUGGGGGAUAACCUAGGGAAACCUGGGCUAAUACCGCAUAAUACCUACGGGUCAAAGCAGCAAUGCGCUGAAUGAGGGGGUCGCGGUCGAUUAGUUAGUUGGCAGGGUAAUGGCCUACCAAGACUGUGAUCGAUAUCCGGCCUGAGAGGGCGCACGGACACACUGGAACUGAAACACGGUCCAGACUCCUACGGGAGGCAGCAGUGGGAAUUUUGCGCAAUGGGGGAAACCCUGACGCAGCAACGCCGCGUGGAGGAUGAAGUCCCUUGGGACGUAAACUCCUUUCGAUCGGGACGAUAAUGACGGUACCGGAAGAAGAAGCCCCGGCUAACUUCGUGCCAGCAGCCGC
rnacentral:rRNA from 1 species